rnacentral:rRNA from 1 species
UACCUUAAUCAGGGGGAUAGCCCGAAGAAAUUCGGAUUAACACCGCAUAAAAACACAGGGUAGCAUUAUCCAAUGUUCAAAUAUUUAUAGGAUUAAGAUGGGCAUGCGUGUCAUUAGCUAGUUGGUUGGGGUAACGGCCCACCAAGGCGACGAUGACUAGGGGAUCUGAGAGGAUGACCCCCCACACUGGUACUGAGACACGGACCAGACUCCUACGGGAGGCAGCAGUAAGGAAUAUUGGUCAAUGGAGGCAACUCUGAACCAGCCAUGCCGCGUGCAGGAAGACUGCCCUAUGGGUUGUAAACUGCUUUUAUCCGGGAAUAAACCUGCUUACGUGUAAGUAGCUGAAUGUACCGGAAGAAUAAGGAUCGGCUAACUCCGUGCCAGCAGCCGCGGUAAU